ensembl:lncRNA
GGAGUUGUGGAGCGACCCUGGUUUAUAAACGAAGAUAUCAACUUCGACUUUGUCACUUGAGCAUGCUUUGGUGGCACAGUCGAUGACGCGCUGGACAAGGCCCGCACGCGGGUGGCAGCCCGGGAUGGCCCUAAACAGUUUCUCAUGCAUUGUCAACCAACCCGGAUGUGAUAUAAUUCUGGCCACAUGUUGAUUCAGUGGGGCUUCUCCGUGCAGGACGUGGGAAGGGGGAGGGACGCACACACUGUAAACAGGAAUAGGUUCAUCACCGGUCACUGAGUUAGCAAGCUAAAGUUAGCUAGUUAGUCACAUAAAUGUACGUUCAGCCUGUUAAUUAUUUCAGUUUGAUUUGACUUAUCUUACGAAGGCAGCAUGGCUUAACAUAGUUUCUUUCGUUUUUGACCUCAACAUUGUUGCUCGAUAGGUAUUUUCAUAGCUACCAUGCUGUCGCUGUUAGCUAGCUAAUGCUAGCAUCGCUAGCUAACCUCAUAUCUGGAUGCCUGGAAGGUUCCCGAAAGUGAGCAGCAUACUGGCCCUCCAUUCCCAAACCUGAAGCCAACUGUUCCCAGCAGGAAAGACCAGGAAAAGGUGUUUAAGUUACAACUUCCUAUUGAAGAAAUGUAAGACAACUCAAUGUCAUAUUUACUGACAUGAAAAGGAGCAUAUACACGCAAUCUAUCAAAUGUAUUUUAUAAAGCCCCGUUUACAUCAGUAGUUGUCACAAAGUGCUUAAGCAGAUACCCAGGUUAAAACCCCAAAGAGCAAGCAAGCAGACGUAGAAGCACAGUGGCUAUGAAAAACUCCCUAGAAAGGCAGGAACCUAGGAAGAAACCUAGAGAGGAACCAGGCUCUGAGGGGUGGCCAGUCCUCUUCUGUCUGUGCUUGUGGAGAUUAUAAAAGAGUACAGCCAUUUAGGCCAGAUUAUUCUUAAAGCUGUUUCAGCGUUCACAGAUGACCAGCAGUGUUAAAUAAUAGAGAGUGCAAUAGUUCAGCACCUCAGGUGUAAAUGCCAGUUGGCUCUUCAUAGCUGAGCAUUUAGAGGUUGAGGCAGUAGGUCCAGUAGAGAGAGGCAGGAUCAAACAGCGGGUCUAGGACAAGGUAGUACCUCCGGUGAGCCUUGAGCAGGUCAGGGUUCCAUAGCUGCAGACAUAAACAGCAGAGACUGGAUCAGCAGCACGACCAGGUGGACUGGAGACGGGGAAAGCCAGGAGUCGUCAGGCCAGAAGGUCACACACGCAUAUCACAUUGCAAGGGUUAGUGUGUAGUCAAGGCUUUGCCAACCUGCUCGGUGGGUGACGGGUGACCGUCUUUCCACCAAGCUGUUCCAGGCCUGGAGUGGCACGCUGGAACUUCCAAAGGCUUGUAGACCUGAAGCAGUGUGAUGUGGUCCAGAUCUGCCACGCCCAGCAGUUCAGCUGCAGUCACAGCAGUCUUCUGCUGUGGUAGUUAAUUUACCAGCUGCACCAAUGCCUUCUACACUGGCCGUGAAAGGAGAAACUUAUGGGUAUUCCCAGAUGGAUACAGAUCUGCCAUGCACUCCACCACUGCCUGACAGCCUCACCCAGAAGUGCAUACACUGGGCCUAUCAGAGAUGGGUGUCUGACAAGGAAAAAUAAAACAUGCACACACACACACACAUCCACAAUGUAAAUAAGUUGUAAUUACUUGUUUAAUGUUUGCUCCAUUUUAUUGUAGGAUUGGAGAUAUCUACUCCCUCAUAGACAUGCUCAAUAUCUACAUAAUUACUCAAACUAUCUAUCAAAUCAAAGUGUGAUUGAUAAUAUUGUAAAAGACUUGCUUAAUAUGUAGUUUUAGGACAUUUUGUGUGCUUUUUUUCUGAGUUGAAAAACAUGCCUCAUACACACAUUAGACCCAAUGUAAAUCAGUUGUAAUAACUUGUUUAUUUUAAUGUAUGGUGAAUUUUAUUUGAGGAAAAUAUCUGCAAUAAAGUACAUUCACAGUUAAAGCAAUGUCCUAUUUCUCAGAAUACAAUGUGUGGCCAGAAGGAAGUCGGCAGACCUGCACCCCUUGGCCUGUGUGCAGGUUUUGUCAUCUGUAGAUGGGGAGGAAGAGUGAAGUUUAAAG